GGGCCCAUAGCUCAGUUGGUUAGAGCUCCCGGCUCAUAACCGGGCGGUCACUGGUUCGAAUCCAGUUGGGCCCA
rnacentral:tRNA from 5 species